AUGCACAGGCAGCUAGGCCUACAGUAUCCACCCGGAGAGCCUGCACCUGUGCACUGCGAUCAGAUGUCGCUCCUCCUGGCUGAGGAGACCCUGUCAGUCAGCCAGAGGAUCAGCUCAAGGUCCACCCAGGAGUCCAAUGUCCCCUCCAGUGAGCCCAUGGGUGGGCCAGAUGAGCAGGCUCAGUCGCUGAGCAGUCCCCCUGGAGUAACCCACAAUGGAGAUGACGUUGGAGGUCAAUCCAGCCCAACCCUCCCUGGAGAUGGAGCUCAGUCCAGCCCAGCCCAGCUUGGAGAUCAACCCAGCCCAGCUGUGGAAGAGGAGGGGGCCCAGGCUGGGCCGGGUUCUGCCGUGCAGUCAGCCGUGUUCCAGAGAUCUCCGUCAGGGGACAGUCUACUGGAGGCCAACCACUCUGCGGUCCUGAUCAGCACCGCCAGCGCACCGACCAACAACACCGUCAUUGUCCACUCUGAGAAUCCUCCGGAGACCAUUGUCUUCCACAGCAACAGACGUCUAUCCUCAGGUGUAUCUUCCAGGGGUAGUUUGACCUGGACUCUUUCGGUUGGUGAGGGGAAUAAGGUUUGGGUGAAUGACCCAACAGAGGUGAUGUCUGAUGAUGUGGUGGUGUUCCACAAAGUGCCCUCAAUGGACAGCAUGUCUCGCAUGCCAUCUGCCUGGAGUAAUGCCUCUUUAGCUGCUGAGGAAAAAGUGGAUCAAGUGAUUUCAAAAAGCAGCAAAGAAUUCUUACUGGAGAAUGUAUUGUCUGGCUCUCCAUCCUUUGGGGAAGUGGCUUCAGCUGCAGCUUUGCAGCAGGUAGAAACUGAUCAGAUAAGAUCUACCAUUGAACUUACAGAGAAAGUAUCCUCCUCGGAGAUAGUGGGAGCCAGAGCAGCAUGGAUAGUGUCGUCAGUCGGGAUACCUUGUAGAAAGGAGAGUGUAGGGAGAACAGCAGAGACCCCAGAGAGACACACAUCUCCCAGAGAUUCACCCAGAGUAUAUUCUCUUCUGUCAGGUAUGAUAUUAAUCUAUACUCAAAAAUGUAUUGCCAGUUUGGUA
rnacentral:lncRNA from 1 species